rnacentral:rRNA from 1 species
UACGUAGGGGCCGAGCGUUGUCCGGAGUUAUUGGGCGUAAAGCGCGCGCAGGCGGCUUGGCGCGCCCCGACGUGAAAGCCCCCGGCUUAACCGGGGGAGGGUCGUCGGGUGACGGUCAGGCUUGAGGGCGGGAGAGGGUGGUGGAAUUCCCGGUGUAGUGGUGAAAUGCGUAGAGAUCGGGAGGAACACCUGUGGCGAAGGCGGCACUCUGGGCCGAUACUGACACUGAGGAGCGGAAGCGUGGGGAGCGAACAGG